rnacentral:rRNA from 1 species
AAAUUGAAGAGUUUGAUCAUGGCUCAGAUUGAACGCUGGCGGCAGGCCUAACACAUGCAAGUCGAGCGGUAGCACAGAGAGCUUGCUCUCGGGUGACGAGCGGCGGACGGGUGAGUAAUGUCUGGGAAAUUGCCUGAUGGAGGGGGAUAACUACUGGAAACGGUAGCUAAUACCGCAUAA